UGCUGUUUAAUGGUGUAUGCUCAUGUCACUUAAAGUUAAAAUGGUCUUACAGAAGAGCAAUUUCUGUCAAAAUUUGUGUUUUAUUUUUUGUCUUUGUGGUUAUGUGUGUGACCCAUGGAUGAUGUCUGACUCCUGAUGUUCUUACUGACUUCUUGGCCUUUCUUUUAGCAGCACCAUCACCAACCUUGUGCCAACACAGCCUACAAGGUGAGAGCAACCUGAGCUAAAACUUUAAACUGUAAAAGACGUCACAGAUGCAUCAGAAAUUCAUUCACAGCCUCCUGAAGCCUUCUGCUCUCUGAGGUGCUAAAAGCUCAACGCUAAGGGGAAAAGACGUCUUUGUGUGCGUGAUGGAAUCGAUGGUGUCACAAUAAUGUUUCGGUGGCGACAUGAAUUAUUCACAGUUUGCACAAAGUGAAGCUGCGACGUGGCUGUUUUGGACACACACGCUGAUGUACACACUUCUACGCAUGCCGGCGCUCUCUCCGAGAACACGGCUGAAUCAGAGAAUCAGAUCAUCUACAUGACAGCCUCGAGACUCAUUCGGCUCCGCUGUCACAGGGAACGCUACAGGAAACCAUUCCUGCCAUUCUCCACAGCUCCGUGCAACUACUCACCACUCACCUGUGUGUGUGUGUCAGGUAAACACAUGCCACCUGUACACACAUUCUGAAAAUACUGUAUUUCUUCACUAACAGUAGCACAUGUUGUAAUAUUGUACAUACUAUAUUUUCUACAUACUUCACACCCAUUCUCAGAUGAAAAUAUUGCACAUCAUAUUUAUUCAUUCAGACAGUUACUGUGAAUUUGUAAA